rnacentral:rRNA from 1 species
AUACAGAGGGUGCGAGCGUUAAUCGGAAUUACUGGGCGUAAAACGCGCGUAGGCGGCUACUUAAGUCAGAUGUGAAAUCCCCGGGCUCAACCUGGGAACUGCAUCUGAUACUGGGUAGCUAGAGUUUUGGAGAGGGAAGUAGAAUUUCAGGUGUAGCGGUGAAAUGCAUAGAGAUCUGAAGGAAUACCAGUGGCGAAGGCGACUUCCUGGCCAAAAACUGACGCUGAGGUGCGAAAGCGUGGGUAGCAAACGGGAUUAGAAACCCUAGUAGUCC